CUCCUCUUCUUAGCCUUUAUUUUCACUUACCUUUCACUCUAACAGGUGGGUGUGGGUUGGAUGUUCAUGUCUGUGUGAGAGGCAUGGCUGAUGCCAUGAUAAUAGCUAUGAAUUUCUUUAAUUCUAGUUCCUGCUAAAUUUUUGAUAGAUUUUUUUUUAAUACAAAGCCAUACUAACACUCUUAAGUGUGGGAUAUUACACAGUAAAUUACCAUGUUCUCAAAGAGAAGAAACACAUUUGCAAAGAUUCUGUGUCCCUAAAAUACUUAAGUGUUUUAAAAUGUUGCUAUUGGUGGAGGCGGAAGGGAGUACUAUUUGUUCAGCUAUGUUUUCAGGUCAACAGUGCAGGGUUCUUGGUAUUAGCGGAUUCCCUUAUGUAAGUCAAGGGCAGUAAAUCAAUGACAGAGAAAACAGAUAAUCUGUCCUGCCCAGCAGCUCGCUGGCGAGAAGGGUCGAGUUGCCGGCACUGAUUGUCCAUGUGGUUGCUGUUGCUUCUUUUACAAUUCGUGUCAGGCCCAGUUUAUAGCAUACAAGGAAAUUUGUGUUCAUCAAAUAGUUACAGAGCACCUGCUUUGUGCAACGAGGCAAGAACACCUUGAUCCCCAAGACAGACAAGCAUUCUGUCCUCAUGAAGCUUUGUGUCUACAAGGGAAGACCGAAAAUAAAAUAAAAACUACUUCUAAUAAUAAGUGCUCAACCAAACAGGGAAAGGCAAGGCUUUGGGAACAAGUCAUUUAGGGACUUAGCCCCUUCCAAGUUGUAUAUACAUAACUUGGUCACUUUGCUGUAGAACAAAAAUUGACAGAACAUUGUAAAUCAACCAUAAUGAAAGGAAAAGCCUUUUUGGAGUUCCCAUUGUGGCUCAGCAGUAACAAACCCAACUUGUAGCUGGGAGGAUGCAGGUUGGAAUCCUGGCCUCACUCAGUGGGUUAAGGAUCUGAUUGCAAAGAGCUUUUUACAAGCAGUUAAUUUAUCUUAAUUAUUAUGAUGUUUGUACUAGUCUGGGCUUAUGAAUUAUUUUCAGGAUGAUUAACAAAUUAAUAGGCCCAGCUCAACAGCAAUGACAUUGCCAUAGCUAUGUUAAGAGUCUUGCUUACAUUUCUAUAACUUUAUUGCCCUUUCAAGUCAUGUUCUUUUGUUAUAGUUAUCUCUAUCCAUAGCUAAGGUGUACUAUGAUUUAUUUUCCCAAGUAUUUUUUUACAAUUACGGCGUUUCCUUACAAGGCCUAACAUCAGUGUCCAUUGUUAAAGAAAAUACAUUCCUAAGUUCCAAACAUCCACUCAAAUUCAGAGAGGACUGUAUUUUCAAAUAGAAACAUGACCUUAAUGUUUGUAAUGAAUUAAAAAUUAAUUUCUAAGUGGGAUUUUUGAUAGCUUCUUUUCCCCCUUCUCUCAAAGUAUGUACUAUGUGCGCUGGGAACAAAAUUGGUACCAGUAAAAUGCUUGUCCAUUCAAGUUUGCAAAUGUCCAGUUCCAUCAGUUUUCCUUUUGACAUUGAAAAAUAAUUAGGCACGGGAAGUUCCCCUUGUGGCUCAGUGAUAAAGAGCCAUCACUAGUAUCCAUUAGGAUGCAGGUUCCAUCCCUGGCCUCCUUGAGUGGGUUAAGGAUCUGCGGUGGAGAGCUGUGGUGUAUGUAGGUCACAGAAGCCGCACAGAUCCCAAGCUGCUGUGGCUGUGGUGUAGGCUGACAGCUGUAGCUCUGAUUCGACCCCUAGCCUGGGAAGUUC
rnacentral:lncRNA from 1 species